AAUAAUUAGGUUAGAGGUAUAUUAUUUGAAACUUGAGAACCUUAAAACCAAAUAUGGGUAUCAAGGAAGAAAAAGAGAUCAUAUGCAGCUGGAGAAAUCUGGGAAAGUUCCCUAAAGAGUGUAUCAUAUCUGAUGGACACUGAGUAGGUAGGAUUUCAAAAGAAUUUCACUGGGGGCCCAAAGAAGGGGUGGUGGAGAGCACUGCAGAUGGACCCACUGGCUUGAUGAGAAGCCAAGGAGAAAGCUGUCUUCAAAAGAGAUGGAGAUGACACCUUGGAAAACUCAGUCGUUGAUCAAAGCUUUUUAGCUCCUCUUAUUACUGAGUAUGAUAAGCAUCUGGAAGAGCUAAAUGGGCAGCUGAAAUAUUAUCAGGUUGCACAGUGAAUUAAAAGAUGCCGUUGAAAAGCAAGUGGAUGCCCUUCCCUUUGGCACAGAGAUGGGGAAUGAGAUAUAUACAGAUGAUGAAACAGUCAGGAAUCUUCAAGAACAACUUCAACUGGCCAAUCAAGAAAAAACUCAGGCUGUGGAACUCUGGCAGACUGUUUCUCAAGAGUUGAAUAGAUUGCAGAAACUUUACCAGGAACAUAUGACUGAGGCCCAGAUUCAUAUAGUAGAAAGUCAAAAACAAAAGGAUCAGCUGACCAAUUUUCAACAACUAACCAAGCAACUUCAUGUUACUAAUGAGAACAUAGAAAUGACUAAUCAACACUUUCUGAAAACAGUAACUGAACAAAAUGUGGAAAUCGAGCAACUCCGAAAACAACUUAGGCAAGCCAAGUUAGAUCUGAGAGUUGCAGCAGCAAAAGUGGAAGAGUUAACUAAAGUGACUGAAGAUCUUCAAGGACAGAUGCAAAAGAAGGAGGAGGAUAUUGUGUCUGCCCAAGGAAGAGAGGAAGCAUCAGAUAGGCGCUUACAGCAGUUGCAAUCUAGUAUGAAACAAUUAGAAACAAGGUUAUGUGUGACAAUCCAAGAAGCUACCCAAUUAAGAGCAGAAAAAACACAUUUGGAAAAACAGACCACAGAGUUACAAGCAAAGUGCAAUGAAUUAGAAGAUGAGAAAUACGAAGCUAUUGUGAGAGCCAGAAAUAGCAUGCAACUCUUAGAAGAAGUUAACCUUCAAAAAAAUCAGGCUCUGCUUGAGGAAAAGCAAAAAGAAGAAGAUAUAGAGAAAAUGAAAGAAACCAUUUCCCGACUUCUGCAAGAUGCCUCCGUAAGAACCAGGAAGGAAGUUAUAAACGUAAGAAAACAAUAUUCUGUACAGAUUUCUCGACUAACAGAAGAACUUUCAGCCCGUCAAAUGGAGUGUGCUGAAAAACAAGACCAAAUUGAUCAAGCCAUUAGGGAGAAAAAAGCAGUGGAAGAAGAACUAGAAAAGAUUUACCAUGAAGGCAGAAUAAAUGAAAGUGAUUACAGAAAACUGGAAGAAAUGCACCAAAGAUGCCUGGUUGCAGAGUGUUCAAAAGAUGAUCUUCAGCUAAGACUUAAGUCCGCAGAAAAUAAAAUCAAACAACUUGAAAUGAAUUCCUCAGAAGAGAUAUCACGUUGCCAAGAAAUGAUUCAGAAACUUCAAAAUGUACUGGAGUCUGAGAGAGAAAACUGUGGAUUUGUCAAUGAACAAAGGCUGAAACUUCAGCAAGAAAAUGAACAGUUACAGAAACAGACUGAGGAUUUAAGAAAAAUUGCUCUCGAGGCUCAGAAAAAAGCCAAAUUAAAGAUCAGUACAAUGGAACAUGAAUUUUCAAUAAAGGAACAUGGGUUUGAAGUUCAACUGAGAGAGUUAGAAGAUAGUAAUCGAAAUUCCACUGUUGAACUGAGGCAUCUCUUAGUGACUCAACAGAAGGCGGCCAACAGGUGGAAAGAAGAAACGAAAAAACUCACUGAAAGUGCAGAAAUUAGGAUCAGCAAUCUAAAGAGUGAGCUGAGUCGACAGAAACUUCAUACCCAAGAGCUGCUUUCUCAGCUGGAAAUGGCAAAUGAAAAGGUAGUUGAGAAUGAAAAGUUAAUUCUAGAGCAUCAAGAAAAAUCCAACAGGCUUCAGAGGCGACUAAGUGAGGCGGAACAGAGAGCUGCUUCAGCCUCCCAACAGCUCAGUGCGAUUACAGUGCAGAGAAGAAAAGCAGCCUCCAUGAUGAAUCUGGAAAAUAUUUAAAAGUAUACAUAGUUCACUCCCAGAACUUUAGAGUUGGGAAAGCUGUUGGACUAGAAGUGUAUUAAAACGGUAAAACCUGCGUAGAAUGGUUAAGGCUUGUGUCAUUUUGCAUAAGCAUUUUCCAUUCUGUUUUGAGGGUUAUUGGAUAACAGAACACUGACAGCUUCUUGUAAGUAAAGAAAAUAUAAUUCUAUAUUGAGCCUCAGUGGAGAAUAAAGCCACCUGGGAAGAACUGAUUGCCUUCCUCGACAUGUCUAUUUUUUUUAAUUCCUCCUUUUUCCCUUGGAAGAGUGUAAUAAUUUUCAAACUGUCCUAAUCAUGAGUUUGAAGAAAAUGCUAGAAUUUUAAUAUUUCAGGUUCCAAGAUUUGCAUCUAAUUGUUCCUCAUAGCUUAUUUUUAAAGUUCCCAAGUACCCAUAUUUUUAUGAAUUCAUAUGUAAUAAAUUACACACUUUCUAAAAUGAUGCUGUCAUGUAUUUUAAUGUAUAAUUGUAGUGAUUCAUUUUUAACUUACACAAUUUCCAGUAUUUAUCAAAUAUUGAUAUUUAAGAAUUUGGGGAGGUUUUGGUCUGUUUGGGGUUUGGGGUUUUGGGGGAGGUGGGUAGGGUUGUUUUGUUUUGUUUUUGCUGUUACUCAAAACAGUAUUAAUCAAAUGGAAUCUUAAGUUCUGAGACUGCAUGGGCAUUAAACUAUUGUGGUCCUAUUGAUUUCCAUAGAUCCAUGUGCUCAGUUAUUCUCUGCUCCUAGUUUGACAUGGUGCACCCUGCUUUCUGUGAUUAGAGUAGAUGGGUUUGCAUCUGGACAAGUUAGGAGACCACUGUAGUAGUCCAGAGAAAAUACAAUGAGUUAAUAACUUAGAGGUGAUGUAGCAGCAUGCAUGUGUAAAUAUUCAACCAGCACAGAGGUUUAGGACUGAUACCAACAAAUUGGGAUAGUCAUGGGUCUUUGGCAUGGAGCUGAGAAUUGAAGCCAUGGAGUGUAGCGGCUUGCUGAGGGGCCUUAUGUGAUGUGCUAGCUACCUCCUUCCCUCCAUUUCUGCUCUAUCCCUGAUGAAGGCCUCUUCAUCUUCCAUCGUGAUGUCAUCCUCCCUCCCCACACAGGGUCUCUGCACAUACUUGGCCAUUUGCAUAUUCUUCAGAUCACUGCUUAGACACCACUGUGUCAGAGAGCCUUACCUAGCCACCAGAUUAGGUUAGGUCCCCUUGUUGUAUUGCUCUUAAUGUAUGCUAUAUGUUUUCCUUUAUAGUCCUUACUAAAAUCUGUAAUUAACUCUUUUUGAAAUUUUUUUCUUUAAUGUCAUCUCCUCCCCGAUGGACUGCAGGAUCCUUGAGGGCAGGACUCAUGUCUGCUGUCAUUCAUCGUUGCAUUCUUAGCAGUCAGCGCUGUUCCUGCCACAUGGAAGUCAAAGCUCUGUUCUGCCCCAGACUGGAACACAUCAUCCAAUGCAGUUCUGAGCAUUAAAGGGAAAUCAUAUUGAAGAUUUCAGCCUUGAAGUUAACUGUGAAGCUUGCUGCAGAUGGCUAAUGUUUCAAAGGUCUGGCUGCUUGAGCAGGCUUUUGCCUUCACUCGUGGUGCUGUUCUGCAGUGGGUCUCGCUUAUGGGGCUUUUUCAGCGAGUGAACCAAGGAGGUACCCAUCUGCUUCCUGAAGAAUGCAGAAUGCCACUUCAAGUCCUCUAUCUUGGGAGCAUCAGGGCCCACAGAAGGACUGUUAAACAAAAGCAUGUUUUCCAGUGAGGAGGAGGAGCAGGACGAAGAAGGCACACCUAUGAACAUAUAAACCACAAAUAAAGAAAAAUUACAGCAGCAGCAGAGCCAGAGGAAUGAAAUUCUAGGUUUUCAGCAUGGCCCCACUAAUGCAAACUUCCCACCCAACAGUACAGCAUACAACCACCAGUUUAAAAAAUUUGGUUUUUAUAAUAAAGAUAUUACCUGCCUUGAGACUCUGCAUUCAGUCUACAUACUUAACAGCUGAAGUUCAUGUAAUUUUUUACAAAACACCACCUUUUCAAGGAAUACAUUUCCUGGUCAAGCAGAAUAAGUGAUCUGAUUUUAACUGGGAUUCACUGCAGAAUCCAUCCGUGGUCAAGAAGCUGCCUCCACCCUCCCCCCAGUCACAGGACAGCACCUGCCGUGCGCUACAGUCUCCUGCCUCACCUACAGGCUAGGAGCGCCACAACCACGAGGGCGGGGACUGGGGCUUCUAAGUUUCCUUUUCCAAAGUAUCUACACCCUCACAGGGCUGUGAGGAGGAUGAACACAUGUAAAUUGUGAACUGAAUAAAGGAAGGGUGUUUAAAAUCA